rnacentral:rRNA from 1 species
AGAGUUUGAUCCUGGCUCAGGAUGAACGCUAGCUACAGGCUUAACACAUGCAAGUCGAGGGGAAACGAUAGAGAAAGCUUGCUUUUUCUAGGCGUCGACCGGCGCACGGGUGAGUAACGCGUAUCCAACCUGCCUAUCACUUGGGGAUAACUUUGCGAAAGUAAGACUAAUACCCAAUGACGUCUCUAGAAGACAUCUGAAGGAGAUUAAAGAUUUAUCGGUGAUGGAUGGGGAUGCGUCUGAUUAGCUUGUUGGCGGGGUAACGGCCCACCAAGGCGACGAUCAGUAGGGGUUCUGAGAGGAAGGUCCCCCACAUUGGAACUGAGACACGGUCCAAACUCCUACGGGAGGCAGCAGUGAGGAAUAUUGGUCAAUGGACGAGAGUCUGAACCAGCCAAGUAGCGUGCAGGAUGACGGCCCUAUGGGUUGUAAACUGCUUUUAUAAGGGAAUAAAGUGAGUCUCGUGAGACUUUUUGCAUGUACCUUAUGAAUAAGGACCGGCUAAUUCCGUGCCAGCAGCCGCGGUAAUACGGAAGGUCCGGGCGUUAUCCGGAUUUAUUGGGUUUAAAGGGAGCGUAGGCCGGAGAUUAAGCGUGUUGUGAAAUGUAGACGCUCAACGUCUGCACUGCAGCGCGAACUGGUUUCCUUGAGUACGCACAAAGUGGGCGGAAUUCGUGGUGUAGCGGUGAAAUGCUUAGAUAUCACGAAGAACUCCGAUUGCGAAGGCAGCUCACUGGAGCGCAACUGACGCUGAAGCUCGAAAGUGCGGGUAUCGAACAGGAUUAGAUACCCUGGUAGUCCGCACGGUAAACGAUGGAUGCCCGCUGUUGGUCUGAAUAGGUCAGCGGCCAAGCGAAAGCAUUAAGCAUCCCACCUGGGGAGUACGCCGGCAACGGUGAAACUCAAAGGAAUUGACG